rnacentral:lncRNA from 1 species
AGUGGCCAAUGAUCGAAUCAGUCGUGACUAUGUAAUGAAGCCUCCCUAACAACCCAGAAGGAUGGAGUUUAGAGAGCUUUGGGGUCAAUGAAGCUGUGGAAGUGCUGGGAAAGUGGCCCACCCAGAGACGGCAUGGAAGUUCCGAGCCUCUGCCCACAUACCUUGCUCUGAGCAUCUCUUCUGUUUCUGGCUGUUCCUGCUUUUCUGAGUUCCGUGAGCCACUCUAGCAAGUUAAGGGAACCCAAGGAGGGGAUCGUGAGAACCUCUGAUUUACAGCUGGUUGGUCAGAAGCACAGUUCUGGAUGCCAGAAGUGCAAAACCAAGGUGUUGGGAGGCUGUGCCCCUCAAAGACUCUAAGGGAAAGUUCUUCCUUGCCUCCUCCAGCUUCUGGUGCUGCCAGGCGUUCCUCGGUUUAUGGCAGCAUCACUCCAACCUCUGCCUCCUUUACACGGCCUUCUCCCCUUUUCCCUGUGUCUUCUCCUCUCUUUUUUUUAUAGGGACACUUGUCACUGGAUUUAGGGCCCACCCAGAUAAUCUAGGAUUAUCUCAUCUUGAGAUCUUUAACUUAAUUAUAUCGCAAAGAACCUUUUUCCAAAUAAAGUCACAUUCUCAAGUCCCAGGGAUGAGCACUUAUCAUUUUGUGGGCCACUAUUCAACCCAUUAUAUCAUUCCUAUGUGUGGCCUGUCCCUCUUUUCUCUCAGGCCAGCCUGCCUAAAAGGUAGAGAAAUUAAGUUGGUAUUAAUCUGAACUAGACUGUUUUAAAUUAAGAUGUUAAUUGUAACCUCCUGAUUACCACUAAGAAAAUAACUUAAAAACAUAUAGUAGAAGAAACAACAGGAGAAUUAAAAUGCUAUAUUAGAAAAUAUAUAUUUAACACAAAAGAAGGCAGGAAUGGAGGGUGAGAGGAACAAAAAAGACGUAAGACACACAGAAAACAAAUAGCAAAAUGGCAGAUGUAAGUCCUGCUUUAUUGAUAAUUACAUUAAAUGUAAAUAGACAAUGCUCCAAUCAGAAGGCAGAAAGUAGAAGAAUGGAUUUAAAAAAAAAGAUCCAACACUAUAUCUACAAAAGACAUACAUCCAAAGACACAAAUAGGUUGAAAGGAUAGAAGAAGAUAUUCUAUGCAAACGGUAACCCAAAGAGAGCUGGGGUGGCUAUGCUAACACAGGCUAUACAAAAUAGAUUUUAAGACAAAAAUUGUUACUAGAGACAAAAAAGAACGUUUUAUGAUGAUAAAAGGGGACUCCACCAGGAAGAUAAAACAACUAUAAACAUAUAUGCACAUAACAGCAGAGUCCCCAAAUAUACGAAGCAAAGCUUACAGGAUUGAAGGGAAAAAUAAACAAUAGUUGGAGACCUCAAUACGCAACUUUCAAUAAUGGAUAGAACAACUAGGCAGAAGGCCAACAACGAAAUAGAACACUUGAACACUGUAAACCCACCUGACCUAAUAGGCAUCUGUAUCUAUAAAACAUUCCAACAACAAGAGCAGAAUACACAUUUUUCUCAAACGCACAUGGAACAUUCUCCAGGACAGAUUAUAUAUUAGGUCAUAAAGGAAGCCUCAACAAAUUAAAAGAUGUUGAAAUCAUGCAAAGUAUGUUCUAUGACCACAGUGAAACGAAAUUAGAAAUAAAUGACAAAGGAAAUUUGGGAAAAUAGCAGAUAUGUAGAAAUUAAGUAACAUAUUCUUAAAUAAUCAAAAGGUCAAUGAAGAAAUCAAAAGAGAAAUGAGAAAAAACUGUGAGAGGAAUGAAAUGUAAACACAACACACCAAAACCUAUGGGAUGCAGCUAAAGCAGCUCUUAGAUGGAAACUUAUAGAUGCAAACACCUAUAUUAAAAAAGAAAAAAGAUCUCAAAUUAAUAACCUAACCUUCCACCUUAAGA